rnacentral:lncRNA from 1 species
GCGCUCGGGCUCCAAGAAGCGACUCAGCCCCUCACUUCCUCCCUCCUCAGUGCGGCUGCCUGCGGGCUAGGAUUCCCGCGGGUCUCCGCGGCGGCGAGCGCGAGGCGGCGCGGGUUCCGGCUCUGUUCCCGCGCGGCUGCUCACCUCUGUCGCCUCGCCUCCCGCGGCUUCCAGUUUUCACCGAGCGCUCCUCCGAAUGCCUGCCUGGCCUGUCUCGUUUUCCCUCUUCUCUCUCUAGACUCAUCGCGGACCUCUGCGGCCCUGACAGAGAGCGCAGAGUCGGAUGGCCUGAGCUUCAUGCCCUGCGCGGGCACCCCUUCCUGCUCCCGGACGCCGAAGCCAGUUGAGGGACGCCUGGAUUUCUGACCUGGGAAGCAGGGCUCAUGACCUGUGCCGUUGCCACACGAUUGGGAAACGGAUGAAUGCUGCUCAAGUGUCCCUGCCUCUGGGAGCUUGCGAGGGAGCACUGUGGGUGGCACACACCACAACCAUGAGGGU